GACAGAGGAUGCAAGCGUUAUCCGGAAUGAUUGGGCGUAAAGCGUCUGUAGGUGGCUUUUUAAGUCUGCCGUCAAAUCCCAGGGCUUAACCCUGGACAGGCGGUGGAAACUACCAAGCUGGAGUACGGUAGGGGCAGAGGGAAUUUCCGGUGGAGCGGUGAAAUGCGUAGAGAUCGGAAAGAACAUCGGUGGCGAAGGCGCUCUGCUGGACCAUAACUGACACUCAGGGACGAAAGCUAGGGGAGCGAAUGGG
rnacentral:rRNA from 1 species